UUCACCUCAUCCCCUCUAACCCAAUGUGCAAUCACACGGGCCUAAGAUCCGGAUUAAUGACCCGCAUAUUUUUUUUCCCGACAAUCUCUUUUCUCUAUGAAAACACAAUUGGGUUUUUUCUUCAUCGUCAUCACCAGAAACCCUAAAUUAACACUUCCAUGCCUCCUUUCCAUUAUAUACUUGAGUUUUUUUUCAUCAUCAAAUUCUCUUUUUCUUGAUCUUCGUUUGAAAGCAAGCCCAAUGAGAAUAGCUGCUGGAAGUUCUAAUGGAUUCUCACAAACACCAAUUCUAAAAGGUCAGUAUUCGAUUUCUUAUAAAGUAUUGUUUUCAUGGUGCCACAAACCCUAAUCGUUGCAUACGGCAAUUUCCUAUCUGAUCAAGAUUCGUCUUUAAUUUGAUUAAUUCAAACGUUUGUGUUUAUUUUGUAAUGAGUGUAUAUGUAGAUCGAUUUUAAUUUCUUCAUAUUUCGGACAACAAAUCUGUCCUUGAAAAGAAGGUCAGAUGGAGGAAGUUUAGGACCCGAAGUACGUUUGCGGGAAAGGCGACAUCAACUUCUCGAUCAGAGAUGGAUGAUGACAUAGUGAAUAUAUGGAAUUACUCAAAUAAGCUCUGAGGUGGCAGUUGAUCUUAAACUGGCCGAAUUAUUCAAAUAAAAAAUAUACGUUUGUUUGACAAUUAUAGGAUGAUGACAUAGUGAAUAUAUGGAAUCUCAGAGGCUCAAAAAGUGUAGUGCUGCUGCCUUGGAUAUGAUCUCUAAUGUGUUUGGUAAUGAGAUUUUUUCAGCUAUUGUUCUAUAGAAUUCGGAACCUUGGUUUCGAUAUAAAUCAUGAGUUUAUUGGUAUUAUUCAUGCAGUUUAUUUUCUUUCUUUUUUGUAUGUAUGGCUCUCUGUGUCUCUAUUAACUCUCUAUGAGCCUUAAUGUAUCAUUCAUGAUUUUAUUAAUCUUGACACUUUUGGCAGAUGCAUAAAGCACUUUUGUUGUAUGUAAUUAUAGAAGGGAUGUAAAUGUUGAUGCUA